CGCCACGGCCAUACCACGCUGAAUGCGCCGGUUCUCGUCCGAUCACCGAAGCUAAGCAAACAUCGGGCUACCGUCAGUACUUGGGGGGGAGGGAACACGGAGUGCUGAUGGCAC
rnacentral:rRNA from 1 species